rnacentral:rRNA from 1 species
AACACAUGCAAGUCGAACGGUAACAGGAAAUAGCUUGCUAUUUUGCUGACGAGUGGCGCACGGGUGCGUAACGCGUAUACAAUCUACCUCUUGCUGAGGGAUAGCCCAGAGAAAUUUGGAUUAAUACCUCAUGGUAUUAUAGAUAGGCAUCUAUUUAUAAUUAAAGGUUACGGCGAGAGAUGAGUAUGCGUCCCAUUAGCUAGUUGGCGAGGUAACGGCUCACCAAGGCAACGAUGGGUAGGGGUCCUGAGAGGGAGAUCCCCCACACUGGUACUGAGACACGGACCAGACUCCUACGGGAGGCAGCAGUGAGGAAUAUUGGACAAUGGGCGGGAGCCUGAUCCAGCCAUGCCGCGUGCAGGAAGACUGCCCUAUGGGUUGUAAACUGCUUUUAUACAGGAAGAAUAAGCCUUACGUGUAAGGUGAUGACGGUACUGUAAGAAUAAGGACCGGCUAACUCCGUGCCAGCAGCCGCGGUAAUACGGAGGGUCCGAGCGUUAUCCGGAAUUAUUGGGUUUAAAGGGUCCGUAGGCGGAUGAUUAAGUCAGGGGUGAAAGUUUGCAGCUCAACUGUAAAAUUGCCUUUGAUACUGGUUAUCUUGAGUUGUAUUGAAGUAGGCGGAAUAUGUAGUGUAGCGGUGGAACGCAUAGAUAUUACAUAGAACACCAAUUGCGAAGCAGCUUACUAAGUACUAACUGACGCUGAUGGACGAAAGCCUGGGUAGCGACAGGAGUAAUACCUGGUAGUCCACGCCGUAACGAUGGAUACUAGCUGGUCGGGAACUUGAGAUCUGAACGGCUAGACGGAAGUGAUUAGGAUCCAGCCUGAGGAAUUCCUUCGCAAGAAUGAACCUGAAGGACUGAGGCGGGCCACAACACGGUGGAGCACUGUAGUCUAAUCACAGAUCGGCACGGAACCUAUACGGACG